UUGUGCGGAUGCCUGAUGAUCGUCUUCCAAAGCAACUACUCUAUUCCGAGCUUAAGAAUGGAAAGCGUAAUGCUGGUGGUCAACAAAAGAGGUUUAAAGACUCUCUCAAGGCAAAUCUUUAAAAAAUGUAGUAUAAACACCAACAAUUGGGAAACACUGGCCUGCGAGCGCUCCAGUUGGAGAACAGCCUUGACCAAAGGUGUCCUGGGCUUUGAAGACACUCGAACUCAGGA